GGGUCCAUGGUGUAGCUUGGCUAGGGUUUGGCGCGAAGCGCCGGACGAGCUUCAGACAGGAGUUCAAAUCUCCUUGGACCCA
rnacentral:tRNA from 1 species